rnacentral:tRNA from 1 species
GCGUCGUAAGUCUCGGAUUCUACGGGGUUUAUAGAAUGUGUCACCGGUUUCCUAAACCGGGGGUCGCAGGUUCGACUCCUGCCGGGCGCA